rnacentral:sRNA from 1 species
CUUGAUCUCAGAGUGCGUGAGGCGGC